GUCCCGAUGCGCGGCCACGAGAAAAUGAACGAAUCACUCUUUGAGAGGACUCGUUACUCCCGAGUCCUUGUAACGAUUUGUUCAAAACGAACGAAUCGUUCACGAACGACACAACACUAAUGCUCGCGGAGCUGAGCGUUUCCAGGUUAGCUUAGGGCUAAGGACUUAGGCUACAUGCUACCCGACGCUGCUAACCGGUUAGCGCUGUGCUGUAGCAGGUCGCGAUCUUUACGAACUCACUAGAGAGGGAAGUGGAGAGACAUGAUGUGGACUGCUAUCAACAGCUCUGUGGGAGUCAUCACCUUGAAUAUUACAGAUGAGACUGCAGCACCGGAUCUGUCCUCAGCAGCAACAUGGUCGAGAUCGGCAGCUUCAGGCUGGUCAACACGAGGACGACCUGCACAAGCUUCAUCGGCCCAACACUUCACGUUUUCUCCCUCAACUAAAGAUGGCCUGUAACUGUUUAGAGUUGGCAAUCAUUGCUAUGUGUCAUGGAUAAUAGAUUUAAUUUCUAUAUUCAUUAUGGUUGGUUAAAAAGAUUAUUAUCUUUUACAAUCUGAUUUGAUACACUUUAGAUAAAAACCCAGUGCUUUAUUUUUCUAAUUCCCAAUAAGAGACAGAACACCGUCAGUACAGCUGAGUCCUUCAGGCUCGUCCGUCCCUAAUAAAAUGACAGGAGACAUAAAGUAUGGCAUUAUUGUAGAGGAAAUGUUACUUAUGAACAAAGUUUCUGUCCUAAAAAGUCUGUGGAUAUUCAACUCUGUAUUUUAAUUAAACAGUGCACUACCAAGACAA